rnacentral:rRNA from 2 species
CUUAACUUGGGAAUUGCCAUCUGGAAACUGGGUUGGGCUAGGAGUCUUCGUAGAGGGGGGGGUAGAAUUUCCCAUGUGUAGCGGUGAAAUGCGUAGAGAUGUGGAGGAAUACCGGUGGCGAAGGCGGCCCCCCCUGGACAAAGACUGACGCUCAGGUGCGAAAGCGUGGGGAGCAAACAGGAUUAGAUACCCUGGUAGUCCACGCUGUAAACGAUGUCGAUUUAGAGGUUGUGGUCUUGAACCGUGGCUUCUGGAGCUAACGCGUUAAAUCGACCGCCUGGGGAGUACGGCCGCAAGGUUAAAACUCAAAUGAAUUGACGGGGG